rnacentral:rRNA from 1 species
CAAUAGCGUAUAUUAAAGUUGUUGCAGUUAAAAAGCUCGUAGUUGGAUUUCUGGUGGGAGCGAUCGGUCUGGCGCUUAGCGCGAGUACUUGCAUCGUCUCCGGCCAUCCUUGGGGAGAGUCUGUCUGGCAUUAAGUUGUCGGGCAGAGGAUCCUCAUCGUUUACUGUGAAAAAAUUAGAGUGUUCAAAGCAGGCUUAUGCCGCUGAAUAUAUUAGCAUGGAAUAAUAAGAUAGGACUUUGGUACUAUUUUGUUGGUUUGCGCACCAAAGUAAUGAUUAAUAGGGACAGUUGGGGGUAUUCGUAUUCCGUUGUCAGAGGUGAAAUUCUUGGAUUUACGGAAGACGAACUACUGCGAAAGCAUUUACCAAGGAUGUUUUCAUUAA